rnacentral:piRNA from 1 species
UCUUAAGACAAACUUGUGAACAUGGGUGUA